rnacentral:lncRNA from 7 species
GACUCUUCUUAAAGGAAUUCUAAAAAGGGAAACUCAGGAAUGCCUACCUGACUGUCCAGAGAACUGCCAUCCAGAGGAGCAUCCUACAGCAGCACAAGCAUUUCAUCUUCUGGAUUUGUGGAGACAUGUGGGAUUUGUUCAUGCUGAAGGCAGGAGGAAGUCAAGGGAGAAAAAAAGAAUUCUGGGAGAUUUUAAAAACAAAAAUGAUUCUCACUAGGAAACUUGGUAAAACCGAAGAUCCAAAGUGAAACAUCAGGAAACAUCACCAAAAUGAAGCCCGUUGGAUGUUUGCAGCUGUUUCUUUAGUCCUGAUUAACAGGGAUUUUCUGAGAAGAGCUGCACAAGUGCAGUCCCCAUUCAACGUACAGAUUUUCCAGAGUGAUCUCCAAGUUGUAAUGGACAACCUCUUUCCUGCCAGCAGAGCCCAGAGAGGAAUAAACCAAGACCACCAGCUAAGUCAUUGUGUAAUGUGCUGUGGAUAUGAGCAUCGAAUGCCCUCAGUGGCAAUGACUCAGGACCAAAUCAUCCUUUUGCGGGAAUUACCUACGAAGGAAACUGGACGCUCCAUGGCAUCUGUGUCAUCCUUCCCUCCAGAUGGUGCCUCAAAAUCUGUUCUGAAAUGGCAUGUGCAAAGCAGACCCAGAGUGCCUAUCAUUCAGCCCUCUGAUGGCAACUCUCAGACAACUCGGGGACAGACAGAACACAAAACCAGAAAUAAGGACUUGCAACCGUGGCUGAAGAUGCCCAGAGAGUCGUGUAUGUAACAGCCAGCGAGAGGCAGAUGACAGCAACAAGAAAUUUCACAGCUCCAAAGAGUGAACGUACCACGGAUUAGUACCGGAGACAGAAAUACUUCUAUGAAAACCAUGAAGGAAGUUCCGGAAUCUAGGUAAAAGAGUAUUGUAAUUAUCAUACAGACUGAAGUCUUGUAAUACAGAGUCGCACAACACAGGGUUCUGUCAUCUUAGAAAUAUGAGUUGCCUCAUGUCAGCUGGAUACCAGAUACUGUUAAUGCACUGCAGGUUAAGCAACAUGUUUCACUCAGUUAGUGGAGAUCUAACAGCUUAGAUAAUUCUCCUUGACUAUUCAAAUUGAAAAAAAAAGUCUUUCAGAAGGAAAAUAUUCAGUGGAGUUCUCUGAAAUCUUUUACUAGGAAGGCAUAGUCCAUGCUUUGCUUCCUAUGAUGUCACAGGGUGCCCUGAGCUUUGUAGGAAUAAGCGCUUCUGCCCCGCAGCCCUUGGGAUACAGCCCCUUUCUCCAGUAUCUCUAUUCCCCUCUCCAGGCUUCUGGGAUUCUGAGAUAUUUUUCUGCUCCCUAACAGAUGUAGCAAGAAUCUUAUGUGCUCCUCACUUUCAUUUAUAAUUUCUUAAGUGUUGAAGUUUUUGUUCACAGCAAACUGUGAAUGAGAAUUAAAUGUUUCUGUUAAAAAAUCAAAUAUGUCUAUUUUACUUGAAUAUUCCAAAGUUAUGCAGAUGGCCAAAGACUGAAGGAAGUACUCAUGAGUUCUGUUUUAUUUUCCUGAACUGUUACUUAACUCACAAGGUAGGGACCUGUCAAACAUAGCUAGCACUCACCUUUUUCUGUUAAUAAACAUCCUUCAGAUGGUUUGGCAAAUCCAGCUAGGUCUUACAUGGUUUAUGCACUUCAGAGACUCAAGAAAAGCUACAAAUUCUUUUGUGUUAUUUAUAAAUCAGUUCCAGAACUAAAUCCUGGUACUGUGUAUUGAGACUUGGUAUAAACGGACACCUUGGAAGAACCAUCUAUCAGUUACAGAGUCUAACUGUAAGAGUGACAGCUUGAACUUGCAUUUACUUCAGCUACAGGUAAGGUGCAGAAGCACCCUUCUGUCCUGUGCCAUCGCUAACAAGUGACAGAGCUGGUCUUUGUCUCACACAUACAUUACCCCAGCUUUGCCAGUUUGAAAAACUCUCCAAAUACUGUUGGUUUCCUUUUUUUUUUUUUUUUUUUUUUUUUUUUUUUUUUUUUUUUUUUUUUGCCUUAUCCUGCUUAUUGCAUGCCUACUCUUUGAAAUGGUUGUAGCUGACUGCAGUGGGAGAGUGAGAUGGGCUACAGAAUUGUUCCCGUACGUUAAUCCCUAUGGCACUUCCAUUGUAACAGCUGCCAUAUGAAUUUCUUAUGUCAGCUUUCUAUUGCAGUGAAACAUUGCAAUAUUUUUAGGUAAAAGAAUACUCAUUUGUUUGGCUGAUAAUUGCAAAUACAUCAACCUUACAUUCUCUAAGCAAACCAGGCAGUGUGCAGCUCAGGAGACUUGCAGAGGUUCCCUGCACCCCUGGAGUGAGCCCAAAAUGGGCAAAAAAAGCACAGGAUGUAGCCUGUAGAUACAGUGGGUAGGGUUGCAUGGAAAGGACGGACAAAGACAAAUUUAUUCCUAUGCUCAGUGGCAACCUAGUAAGAAUAGGGCCCAGUUUCAAGUAAAAUGAGCUUGCUCUGUGGUCUCUGUACUUGAAAAUGCAGAGUUCACCCCAAAGAGACUUCUAGAGAUCCAGUCACUGAGAAUGCUUUCCAACAGCCAGGGCUUUAGUCUAAAGGAAUUUUUAAAAGCUUAUAAAAUAUUUUUUAGUUAUGUAUGCUUUAAAACAAAAGGUUUAUUCUUACAUGUUGGCAUGUCUUUAUUGGCACCAUUUAUUUACUUUUUAUAGGAGUGGGAGCAUGACUACUCCUAUGCCAGCAUAUUUGAUUGUGUAUGACUUGCUUUACAUUUACAGGGAUCUAUUGUUGCUUAUGAGGAAAAAUAAAAUUUCUGUAGAGUGUUUAGUUAACUCCCUGUUGAAGUUAAGCAAGACUUACCUUUGGAAAACUCGCAUAAGGUUAUUUGUAAUGGUGCCAAUGGGACCCUUGCUUUGCUUAUAAAAACGUAUGUGAAUUUAUAAUGGACAAAGAUACAAUUAUCCCAGAAGAGCUUCAGGAAAAAUCAUCAGAUUUCUUUCAGAUGAGGUACACAGAUAGGGAUUGCAGUGUAUGUUACUGUUCUCUGGGCAGGGCAGAUAAUGGCUUGGUUUCUGUUUUCAUUGUGAGAUAUAUUCUGUUACCACUUUCAUUGGUCAGGAAUAAUUCCCUCUAAAUCAAACUUCGGCAUUUCCUAGGUAGAAUUAGUCCUUAUUUAUAUGAGUGCGAGACAAAGAAUAAUCUUAUCUGGGGAUUUUAAUAUUGCUAGUGAUGAAAAACUGAACGAUUGAAGUCUCUCAUACUCUCAUCUUUGGAGUCUUUCAAAGUCUGUCCCAGUUUAAUCCAAGAAAUUGCAAACUCAGUCACAUUCUAGCAAAAGAAUCAAUGUUCAUCGUCCUUUUUCUCUUGUCUGGAUCAGGAACUCUUUCUUCUGCAUCUCCACAAAAGCUGUUAUGCAAAGUCCUUUUAGAGCUGAGGAAACCUUGUUAAAACUUAAUUACAAAUCCAUGUUGUAUUAAGAAAAGAGCAUCUGGAACGGGCACUUCUCACAGGCUUGUGUUUAAUUAUUGAUAGUUAUUUCUGUUGUCUCCCCAUCUAACUUACAAAAUACAUUUUCUUUCUCAUGAAGAGUAACUCUCGGAUGCACAGAACUGGAGACUUAAAAGAUCCUCAGUUCCCCCAGGACCUGAGCAUGUAGAAACGUGGGGGCCUGGCUGUCCUUCUGGUCUGCACGCGUGGCCUCAAGCCCGAAUCCCUACAACAGCAUCUCCACUGACAGCAAAGUGCUUCUUCGGUAGGUGUGAGCUUAUUGUCUCGGUACUGUCGCUAGGAAAAACAGCUCAUUUAGAGGGCUGGUGUAGCAACCAGCUGGUGUAGAACAUGCUUGAGAAAUCUCUUAUCAGAACUUCGCACUCUUUCAGGAUUCCUCACGAUUAGGCUUGAUUUAUCAAUAUAUAAAGAGCCCCAUUCUCUCUUCAUUUCACUUACCUGUUGGAAGCAGCCUGUCUAGAGCUAGGUUUUAAAGCUUGAAAGCCAUGCCCUGCCAGCUCCUGCUAUUCAGGCCCAUCACACACUGACGAACAGAUGGAGCAAAGGAAGCGCUAGGUUGUAAAUUGUUUUUUUUCUUCCCUUUUUAUGUCUGUUCUGGUGAUGGGAGCAAGUUAGCAGGCUUUGAGCUGCUUUGUUUUGCAUGCACAAAUGUGCACUCCUUGGGAGACCGUUCAGGUGUUCAGUGAACUAUGUUAUCCAGAUUCUGAGGAUAAGAACACAGGAAAAUAGGCCAGACCAGGAGUAAAGCAGGGACAGGUCCUAGGCGUAAUAUUCAUCUGCAACUGUCGUUUCCCAGGCAGUAUGACUGACCCAAAGUUUCAGUAGGGGUUUAUACACAAGGCACAUGUAUUGUUAUUUUUGUUCAUUAGCCACCAGACAGUUUGUCUUUUUGCUAUUUAAGGAUGUGAAAUCAAAGACUUUUUUUUACUUUUGAUUAAAAAAAAAAAUACUCUGUUUAUUCCUAUUAUGUAUAUCUUAUGUUGUUUGCUUAAAGCAAGCAAUUUCCAUUAGUCAAAAGGGUGUACUUAUUUCUUUAACUCACGCAAAAUGGCAUUUUUUGUUCUGCACUGCCAACAGAGAUGACCAAAAAACCCUUUUAUCCUGAAAUAAAUCUAAGAAAAGUCUGUGCUAAAUAUACUAAUGGCUUGUUGAUCUGUUAUUUAGCAUUGCUGGUCCUUUAUUGUAGCUGCUUUGUAAAAUGCAUGUUAGAUCUCUGAUAACUCUUAAAAGGCAGUUGAUAGAUGACCUUAUACUGCUAUGGCAGCUCUUACACCCUUCCAUUACAUAGUUACUGAAGCAAAAAGUUGGCACUCCCCUUAGCCAAGAGCUGUACACCUUGCCAAUUUUUGGCCUUUGAAAUGGCUGCAUCUUGACCUUGACCAUCUGGGUGCAACCCAAAACACCCUCCUAUGGAUGCCCACCUGAAGAGGAGGGGCCUUUGAAGGCCUUAUAAAGAAACCAGUUUGCAAAUCAGUUUAAAUACAACUUGCUAAAAGGAUAUAUACUUCACGCUGACACCAUCCUUUCUUUCUGUUUAUAGCCCUUUACCACUGAACUGCUGUGGCUUGAUUGUGUGAAACUGAGUUUCAGGAUGCAAGAUACUGUUCAGAUAGUUCUGCAAUACAUUCUUCAGACCCAGCAACUUUGGCAGGCCCGUGGAUGAUGGAAUAACCAGAUCUCUGCGGCCACCCCUGAAAAACAGAUUCUUUCUUCUGGAUUCCCUGGGAUUCUCUCAGCAGCCAGCCUUGUUUACAG